rnacentral:rRNA from 1 species
CUACGGGUUGCUGCAGUGGGGAAUAUUGGACAAUGGACGAAAGUCCGAUCCAGCGACACCGCGUGGGGGGUGAAGGCUUUCGGGUUGUAAACCCCUUUUCUGGAGGAAGAAUAAGGUUGGGAGGAAAUGCCCAUCCGAUGACGGUACUCCAGGAAUAAGCAUCGGCAAACUUCGUGCCAGCAGCCGCGGUAAGACGAAGGAUGCGAGCGUUAUCCGGAAUUACUGGGCGUAAAGGACGUCUAGGCGGUUGGAUAAGUCAUUUGUGAAAUCCCAGGGCUUAACCCUGGAAGGUCUUGUGAUACUGUCCGGCUUGGGUGUAGGAGAGGAGAGCGGAACUCACAGAGUAGCGGUGGAAUGCGUAGAUACUGUGAGGUACCCCGAUGGCGAAGGCAGCUCUCUGGCCUACUACCGACGCUGAAGCGUGAAAGCGUGGGGAGCAAAGGGGAUUAGAUACCCUCGUAGUC